CCAGGUACUGAGCCCUUCAAUUGAGGUCUAAACCCUCCACUCUCUCCCUCCAGGAUUGCCAAGCCUGUGGUUUCAGUUCCAUGCUCCCAGGUGACACCCUCUGUCUUUGAGUUGUGGGAGCCUUCCUCCUUCAGUCUGCGUGUACUGAAGCCAGUGUUUGCUGUACAGCCUCUCAGCCACAGCAGCCGACAGUGAUGUGCAGGUGCUCACGCCAUCGCCCCAGAGAGCUCCUCCAUUCGCCCCUCCACCCGUAGCCCCUCGAAACCACUGCCCUGCUCCCCGACACGGUAGCACUGUCUUCUCCAAGAUGUCACGUGGCAGCAUCCUUCGGCCUGUGCCCACCGAAACUAGCUUCCUUCACCGGGCAUGUGGCCUGGGAGACCUGGGGCAUUUGGGUGCAUCUUUCCACUGCUGGUUGGUGCCCCCUGUGUGGAAGCAUCCACGUUGGUUCCCACCUCCUCCUGCCGAUGGACAUUUUGUUUUCUUCCAGUUAUUGGCAAUGAGGAAUGAGGCCUAAACACUUGUGUGCAGGUUUGUGUGUGCACGUUUAAGUUUGCUCUUGGACAUUUCAGGAGCGGGGUUGCUGGAUGAUGUGGUAAGGAUGUGCUUAACUUCAUAAGAAACUCCCGGACCACUUUCCAGCAUGACGGGACCCCUCCCAUUCCCACUGCAGCUUAUGAGGGUCCCAGUUCCUCUGCAUCAUCACUAGGACCUGGGUCGGCCUGUGGUUUUUGUCUGUUUUUAGCCAUUUUAAUAGAUUUGCAGAGGUACUGUUGACUGGCAUUUCUCCAGCAUCUCUAUGAUGUUGAGCCUCUUUCUCGGGCAAUAUGCCCUCCUUAUACCUUCUUUGAUGAGGCCUCCAUUCAAAUAUCUGCCCUCUCUUUAAUACUGGGGUUUUUACUUUCUUAUGGUUAAGUUUUGAUGGUUCUUCAUAUAUUCUGCGUGCCAGUACGUUGUGAGAUGUGUGAUUCACAAAUAUUUUUUUCUAGACCGUGGUUUGUGUUUCAUUCUCCUUAGAUUUUUACAUUGCUUUAUAGAAUUAUAAUUUUAAA
rnacentral:lncRNA from 1 species